rnacentral:misc_RNA from 1 species
GGACAUUUUACACUGCCGAUUUGAGGUAUCAAUCUUUUCUAUUUUUUUUUUUCUGUACUUCCAUUGUUGCAGAUGUGUAGAGCACUCCCAUUUAGUAUUACUGGCUAACCAAUAGCUGCUCGUCAUGUGUACUUGCUGCCUCCUGGUAUUUAAAUGCAUUUUCCAGUUUCAACCGGCUUCUGCCACUACUGUAGUAGUUGAAGCCGUUGUCGUGGCGGAAGUCACAGCCUUCCUUCUCCUCUUCGGUGAACCACUCUCCAAUCCCGAUGAUGUCGAGGAUGAUGGCUCCGGCGAUGACCUCUUCGAAGUCACUCUC